CGCGACUAGGGAGGCAACGCGAUGCAUGCCACAUAGAAGUCGAUGCGCGGGGACGGUGGCGUGGACCAUGCAUCCCGGUGCUACGGCCCGAAGGGGUGACGACGCGGCAACACACGGGUCAGGGCGACUUCAAAAAGACCUCAUUGUCACGGCUCGAAGGGGCGACACAGUGGCGGUACACGAGUCGGUGUAGCCACGAGGGUGGUGUCCCUGCACUCCCUCGGUCGAUGUGUGGCGGCCUGCUUUGAACCCUCACGGGGGUGCUAUCUCGUGAGAUUGCUGAGGCCAUGGCGCUUCAACGGACAACAAGGUUGGCGCUUGAUAAAGGUUUCACAAAUGUUUUUUAAGACUGACUGCCUUUCGGUUGUGCAACGUGUGACGUCUUCAUCGAAGGAUCGUUCUGUGGUAGGAGCCAUUUAUGGCUGAGAUCAAAGAAGCGGCGAGCGGCCUCUCCUCUUUGUUGUUCAUGCAUAUCCGUCGGCACCUUAAUAUAUCAGCUCAUGUUUUAGCAAAUCAGGUUUGACCACGUUUAGUCUUUAUUUCUUUCAUUCUCUUCCGGAUUGUAUCCGGGAGACUAUUUAUAACUUUGUUGCUUGAUCAAUAAAUGUCGACGUUCUCUAAAAAAAUCAAACUUAAAAAUCGUCAAAUAUGUAUAUGAAUCUUCGAGUAAAAUCAACGACCGGUAAUUAAGUCACAUGUAGAUGUGCUUUAGCACAUCCACAUAGGAAACCGCUGACAUUUCUUAAUGAAGGAUUGAGCGAAUGAUUUUUUUUUCUCCAAAAUAGAAUGGAAAUGAAUCCAAAGGAAAAUUCCAAAGAAUUGUAAUCAUGUGAAUCAACCUGCCAACGCAGGAAAGAUCCCCAAGGACAUAAAUCCUCUAAAAUUUCUAUAAAUUCCCUUGAAUCAAAGGAGCUCUAAAAAUGUUUUAUGCAUAACUAUUAUGUUCUGCCUAAUUGCACUUCUGGUUUAAUUUCCUCCGCGAAACCGACGACGAACAUCAGUUGUAGCCUCCGCGUCGCCCGGGCGCGGUCGGCAGCUUCUGCUGCUGGACGAUGAGCCGUGCCGGGAUCGGCCGGCCGGUGCCAGAGCCUCCGCAGCNNNNN
rnacentral:lncRNA from 1 species